UCACAUAUUGACUUAAAAAAAAAACAAGGUUUAUCACAUGCUCUUUCUAAAUGCUCUUAUCUUAUACUAAAAGAAGGAAACAUAUCUUUUGAUUAACAAAAAAUAAUUAUCUUGAAGCCAGAGCAUUUUUAUCUUUGAGCAAUGAAAUCAAUAUUGACUAUUGAUUCGACCUUUGUCAAACAAAUCCAAUCAAGUAUGUCCUUCA
rnacentral:lncRNA from 1 species